rnacentral:rRNA from 1 species
AGUCGAACGAACUUCCGUUAAUUGAUCAGGACGUGCUUGCACUGAAUGAGAUUUUAACACGAAGUGAGUGGCGGACGGGUGAGUAACACGUGGGUAACCUGCCCAGAAGCAGGGGAUAACACCUGGAAACAGAUGCUAAUACCGUAUAACAGAGAAAACCGCCUGGUUUUCUUUUAAAAGAUGGCUCUGCUAUCACUUCUGGAUGGACCCGCGGCGCAUUAGCUAGUUGGUGAGGUAACGGCUCACCAAGGCGAUGAUGCGUAGCCGACCUGAGAGGGUAAUCGGCCACAUUGGGACUGAGACACGGCCCAGACUCCUACGGGAGGCAGCAGUAGGGAAUCUUCCACAAUGGACGCAAGUCUGAUGGAGCAACGCCGCGUGAGUGAAGAAGGGUUUCGGCUCGUAAAGCUCUGUUGUUAAAGAAGAACGUGGGUGAGAGUAACUGUUCACCCAGUGACGGUAUUUAACCAGAAAGCCACGGCUAACUACGUGCCAGCAGCCGCGGUAAUACGUAGGUGGCAAGCGUUAUCCGGAUUUAUUGGGCGUAAAGCGAGCGCAGGCGGUCUUUUAAGUCUAAUGUGAAAGCCUUCGGCUCAACCGAAGAAGUGCAUUGGAAACUGGGAGACUUGAGUGCAGAAGAGGACAGUGGAACUCCAUGUGUAGCGGUGAAAUGCGUAGAUAUAUGGAAGAACACCAGUGGCGAAGGCGGCUGUCUGGUCUGUAACUGACGCUGAGGCUCGAAAGCAUGGGUAGCGAACAGGAUUAGAUACCCUGGUAGUCCAUGCCGUAAACGAUGAUUACUAAGUGUUGGAGGGUUUCCGCCCUUCAGUGCUGCAGCUAACGCAUUAAGUAAUCCGCCUGGGGAGUACGACCGCAAGGUUGAAACUCAAAAGAAUUGACGGGGGCCCGCACAAGCGGUGGAGCAUGUGGUUUAAUUCGAAGCUACGCGAAGAACCUUACCAGGUCUUGACAUCUUCUGCCAACCUAAGAGAUUAGGCGUUCCCUUCGGGGACAGAAUGACAGGUGGUGCAUGGGUUGUCGUCAGCUCGUGUCGUGAGAUGUUGGGUUAAGUCCCGCAACGAGCGCAACCC